CUCUGACAUAAUUUGUACAUCAAAGGACCUUCAUUUUGUUACAAUAAGAUGCCUUCUCUUACUUUUAAGGAAGCGGACAUCUCUGACAUAAUUUAUACGUCAAAGGAGUUUACCUUCAUUUUGAUUUUACUUGGAUGCCUUCUCUCACUUUUAAAGGUUUAUCCAAGGAGUUUACAAGCAUUCAUUCGACUUAAGCACAGACAAGAUGGACGUUUUAAGUUUGUAUUUUUUUGACAAGACAAAUGUUUUAAGGAUGAAGCUUGUUUUAGAAUGUGAUAAGUGUGGAUUAUACAGUUUUAUUGCAUUAUUAAAUUACACGUUCU